rnacentral:lncRNA from 1 species
AAUCCCAGCACUUUGGGAGACCAAGGUGGGUGAAUCAUGAGGUCAGCAGAUCAAGACCAUCCUGGCUAACACGGUGAAACCCCAUCUCUACGAAAAGUACAAAAACUUAACUGGGCAUGGUGGCACAUGCCUAUAGUCCCAGCUACUUGGGAGGCUGAGGCAGGAGAAUCGCUUGAACCUGGGAGGCGGAGGUUGCAGUAAGCCAAGAUGGGGCCACUGCACUCCAGCCUGGGUGACAGAGCGAGACUCCAUCUCAAAAACAAAAAAAGUGUGUAGUGUUUUCAUAUAACCUACACGCAUUUUCCUGUAUGCUUUAAAUAAUCUUCAAUUACCUAUAAUACUUAAUACACUGUAAAUGCUAUAUAAAUAGUUGUUAUACUCCAUUGUUUUCUAUAUGUAUUAUUUUACUGUUAUUUUUAUUUUUUUUUUUUCUGAAUAUUUUUGGUUUACAGUUUGUUGAAUCUUUGUGUAUCUGCCGGCUUACCACAUAGACAUCUUAUUGGUUCUGUUUCUCUAGAGAACCCUGACUAAUACACGUCCACCUUUGUCGAUUAAAAAAACAAGGUGUAUUCCUAUUACUGGAAACCUAUCAGGAAAAUGUAUUUAUGCAGCCUGAGACCCAUGGCACCAGCAGGAAUAUGAGACCUGAACUUUCCGUUCCCACUGUGGUUGGGCAAGUGAGAGGGAAGCCUUCCAGUACUCCCUGUGAUUUCGGGAAGAUCUUGAUUGUGAAGGGCUGUUUGUAGACCCCAUCAGAGGUGCCCAGACUGACUUGCCAUCUGAGGCCAGCUGCUGGGAUCUGACUCUUCCCAAGAACACAAAUCAAUAGUCAAUGCAGAAACCACACUCCAAAGAGAAACUGGUUCCAAGAGUGGCUAUUACUAUUUGCUUUCAAUUGAAUAUAUGUAUGUAGAUAGGUGCAAAGCCUCCCAUUUUGCCUUCAGGACCAUAGCAAAUACCUGCUUUCUGGAUGGACAAGGGAGACCCUUGUUAGCAAGAAUUGUGCUACAGUCUCCCAGCCUAACCACAAGGACACACGAGGACUAGAACAUUUGCUCUGCUUCUACUCAUCAUUGGCAAGAGUCUGAACACCUCUUUCUCAAACCAGCAGCAAGAGUUGCCCAGGCAGUGCACUCACUAACAUGCUCCCCUAAAUAUUCUUGAGUGAAAAGAAGAGAUAUGUUGCCAUGAAUGGGUCUUUCAGUUGGUAUUUGUAGGACUGCAAAGUUGCAAAGCUGGCAACAUGGUUAUGGCUUACACUGUUAAAUUUUGUGAUUUACUACUUGAUAUGGUAGCACAAAAUUAGAACUACAAAAAGAAUAAGGCUUGGUCACCUUACCUAUAAGAUCUAUUCAUGACAAUAAUUUUAUAGAGAAAAUUGCUCCUCUUUAGGCAAUGCCUCAUCUGACUUGAUGCUCUCUGCUGCAGAAGGUGAAAUUACAAUAAUUACAAACUUGAUCUUGGCUGUGACCUCUGAAUUGACCCUUUGAAGGAACCUGGAUUAUGUCUGAAUCUGUUAUCUCUGCAAGGAGAACAGCUGUCUUCAGAAUUGCUUUUGGGACCCCAUCAUGUCAUCGUGAAAUUGCAGUUAGUAAUCUUGCCAACAAUUUCCAGAUUUGGUGCAGAUAAGCUUAAACACAUUUGACUCCUUGGUUUCCAAUGUUAUUUAGAGAAUUGGAUGACUUAAAGCAUUUAUUUUUUUCAACUCAAUUCUUAUCAUAAUCCAUCAACAUCACAGUGUUUUUAUUCUCUAUUUCAUUUUUAUAUGAUCCUAUUAGUGGAGAGAAACACAAGUGACAUUUUUCUUUACUAUGGCCUUGUCUUCCUUUUUGCCUUUGCUAGAACUCAGGGAUCAUAUACAUUUUACUAAAUUAGAAUUCAACCAUAUCCUCUGACCAACAAUUUUCCUAACACUGAUCUUCUUCAUUGAGUUUUGUUAGGGAUGAAACGAAGGGAAUUCUUUCUGUUGCAUGCAAAUGAUAUUUACAAACUGUCCCUAAAUCACAGACCAGAAAUGCUUCUCUUAGAUGACUGAGGCUGAUAUUUUUGAAAUGUGCUGCACUCCAGGUACC